AGUGAACGCUGGCGGUAGGCCUAACACAUGCAAGUCGAACGGCAGCACAGUAAGAGCUUGCUCUUACGGGUGGCGAGUGGCGGACGGGUGAGGAAUACAGCGGAAUCUACUUUUUCGUGGGGGAUAACGUAGGGAAACUUACGCUAAUACCGCAUACGACCUACGGGUGAAAGCAGGGGAUCUUCGGACCUUGCGCGAUUGAAUGAGCCGAUGUCGGAUUAGCUAGUUGGCGGGGUAAAGGCCCACCAAGGCGACGAUCCGUAGCUGGUCUGGGAGGAUGAUCAGCCACACUGGAACUGGGACACGGCCCAGACUCCUACGGGAGGCAGCAGUGGGGAAUAUUGGCCAAUGGGCGCAAUCCUGCUCCAGCCCUACCGCGUGGGUGAAGAAGGCCUUCGGGUUGUAAAGCCCUUUUGUUGGGAAAGACAAGCAGCAGGUUAAUACCCCGCUGUUCUGACGGUACCCAAAGAAUAAGCACCGGCUAACUUCGUG
rnacentral:rRNA from 1 species